GAUGAACGCUGGCGGCGUGCUUAACACAUGCAAGUCGAACGGAAAGGCCCAAGCUUGCUUGGGUACUCGAGUGGCGAACGGGUGAGUAACACGUGGGUGAUCUGCCCUGCACUUCGGGAUAAGCCUGGGAAACUGGGUCUAAUACCGGAUAGGACCACAUUUUGGAUGGUGUGGUGGAAAGUUUUUCGGUGUGGGAUGAGCUCGCGGCCUAUCAGCUUGUUGGUGGGGUAAUGGCCUACCCAGGCGUCGACGGGUAGCCGGCCUGAGAGGGUGUACGGCCACAUUGGGACUGAGAUACGGCCCAGACUCCUACGGGAGGCAGCAGUGGGGAAUAUUGCACAAUGGGCGCAAGCCUGAUGCAGCGACGCCGCGUGGGGGAUGACGGCCUUCGGGUUGUAAACUCCUUUCGCUAGGGACGAAGCGUUUUUGUGACGGUACCUGGAGAAGAAGCACCGGCUAACUACGUG
rnacentral:rRNA from 1 species